AAUGAACGCUGGCGGCGUGCUUUACACAUGCAAGUCGAGCGGAGUUAGUACCAAGGGGCAACCCGAGGUGCUGACUCAGCGGCAAACGGGUGAGUAAUGGACAGGUAACGUACCCCCAAGACGUGGAUAGCUCAUCGAAAGAUGAGAUAAUACGCGAUAAUGUUGCAGGGCGAUGGCUCUGCAAAGAAAGCGGGCGCAAGCUCGCGCUUCCGGAUCGGCCUGUCUCCUAUCAGCUAGUUGGUGGGGUAAGAGCCUACCAAGGCGAUGACGGGUAGCUGGUCUUAGAGGAUGGUCAGCCACAUUGGAACUGCGAUACGGUCCAGACUCCUACGGGAGGCAGCAGUGGGGAAUCAUGGUCAAUGGGCGAAAGCCUGAACCUGCGACGCCGCGUGAGUGAUGAAGGUCGUAAGAUCGUAAAACUCUUUUCAGGGAUCUUAAAGGCAGCGCUCUAACAUAGCGUCUGCUGUGACUAUCCCUGGAAUAAGCCCCAGCCAACUACGUGCCAGCAGCUGCGGUAAUACGUAGGGGGCGAGCGUUAUUCGGAAUUACUGGGUGUAAAGGGUAUGUAGGCGGUUCCUCAAGUCGCGUGUCAAAGUCCAGCGCUUAACGCUGGGUGUGCACGCGAUACUGUGGAACUAGAGGGCUGGAGAGGUGAGCGGAAUUCCCGGUGUAGUGGUAAAAUACGUAGAUAUCGGGAGGAACACCAGCGGCGCAGGCGGCUCACUAGACAGUUUCUGACGCUAAGAUACGGAAGCGUGGGGAGCAAACAGGAUUAGAUACCCUGGUAGUCCACGCCCUAAACGAUGGAUACUUGGUGUUUGGGGGGUUGCCCUCAGUGCCGGAGCUAACGCGUUAAGUAUCCCACCUGGGGACUACGGCCGCAAGGCUA
rnacentral:rRNA from 1 species